GACGGAGGAUGCAAGUGUUAUCCGGAAUCACUGGGCGUAAAGCGUCUGUAGGUGGUUUAAUAAGUCAACUGUUAAAUCUUGAGGCUCAACCUCAAAAUCGCAGUCGAAACUAUUAGGCUAGAGUAUAGUAGGGGUAAAGGGAAGUUUCCAGUGGAGCGGUGAAAUGACGUAGAGAUUGGAAAGAACACCGAUGGCGAAGGCACUUUACUGGGCUAUUACUAACACUCAGAGACGAAAGCUAGGGUAGCAAAUGGG
rnacentral:rRNA from 1 species